rnacentral:lncRNA from 1 species
AAAAUUAAAAAACAUAUAAAUUUCUAGGUCCAACCCUGGAAACUCUUUUUUGGAGACAGUCUCACUCUGUCACCCAGGUGGGAGUGCAGUGGCACAACCUCGGCUCACUGCAACCUCUGCCUCCCAGGUUUAAGCGAUUCUCCUGCCUCAGCUUCCUGAGUAGCUGGGACUGCAGGUGUGUGCCACCAUGCCUGGCUGAUUUUUUUAUUUUUUGUAGAGACAGGGUUCUGCCAUGUUGGCCACCCUGGUCUUGAAAUCCUGGCCUCAAGCAAUCCACCAACUUCAACCUUCCAAAGUGCUGGGAUUAUAGGCAUGAGCCACUAUGCCUGACCAACCACAGCUUUUUCUUUCUUUUUUUUUUGUCACCUAGGCAGGAGUGCAAUGGCACAAUCCCGGCUCACUGCAGCUUCUGCCUCCUGGGUUCAAGCAAUUCUCCUGCCUUAACCUCCCAAGUAGCUGGGACUACAGGCGAACACCACCAUGCCCAGCUAAUUUUUGUAUUUUUUUUAAUAGAGAUGGGGUUUCACCUUGUUGGCCAGGCUAGUCUUGAACUCUUGACCUUAAGUGAUCCACCCUCCUCGGCCUCCCAAAGUGCUAGGACUACAGGCGUGAGCCACCGCGCCCGGGCCAACCACAGCUUUUUCAUCAGAAUAAACUAGCAAGAUACCUCACCUGGGUUGAUGAUCUCAUCAUCCUCACUGAAUGUCACCCGUGAGUUCUUCCUCUUCCUCUUUGGUCUUUGAAUGUCCAGAUUUCCCUCCUCAAUGGUAAGGGUAGAAAUCCGCUUGUUGUGGGCAGUGUUGAACUCUGUCAGGUUCUAAGCCAGGGUUCAUACAGGAAAGACAGCAGUCAGUACAAAGGGAAUCUGAUGGAGAAAAUCAUACUAAAUAAAGGUGAGGAAGGCAUGAGGGGCUAAUCUUGACCUCCAAAGGGAGUUGAGACACUUCUGCAUUUAGAGAAGAUUCAUACUGUCCCGAGACUACGAAUACUAACAAGUCUCAAGUCUCAUUAGAAAGAAUGUGGAACAUCCUCAUUGACUAGUGGGGCAGUGAUAUUCAAGAGGUAAAGG